GCCUUUCGUCGAGCUCGGUUUCUUUCUCCUGUCCCAAUUCCUUUCUCCAGUCUCCGUCUCUACCAGUCAAAGAAGUCUCCCCGAUCUGAACUCCGGCCACCACCUGCAGCGCGAGGGAGCUCCGGCCGCCCCCCUGCCCCGGCCGCGACGCAGCCGGUGGCCUUCUCCGCUUCGGGGGCCCGGGAACGUCGCCGUCCUCCUCCCCACGCCGGAGAGAAACUCGUGCGGCCGCGGACGGCUGAAGGGGGGCUCGCGGUGGAGCUGGAGCAGACGCCGGCCGGCCGGCUGCCACAGACAGGGAGGAGAUGUCAUUCAUGUAAGACAGGGAGGUGUCAACCUGCUGCUGAGUGGUAGGUACCUUAAUACCCUCUACAACCCUGUGGUUGGCCUCGUCGAAGUCCAUGAGAAGUAUCAGCAAGGCACAAGUAACCGUUGAUGAAAAUCUCUGUUAAAAUAAAUAAAUCAAAACUGCAAUGAUUCAAGAACAGCUCAAUCACCUGGUGAAGGUCAAGUUUUUCAGUUCUUUAAAACUCAUGCAACUUCUAUUUUUGAAAACGUGCACAUCUCCCUCAUAUAAGAGUUUUUGGUAGACAUAGAGUUGAAAAGAAUCAUUGGAUCAACAGACAGAUACGCAGAACAGAACAAGGCAUGGCUGAGUUAGUUUGUUCUAAAAAUGAUUGCUCUUGUGAGUUGAAUAAUUGUUCAGGAGAAGUUUUUUGCUAGCUGGACCAGUCAAUAAAGUUAAAAAGGAAGAGAAAAAAAAACUGAUUGUCUAUCCUCCCUGCAUAAAUGUCUUGUGCUGUUGAGGAUUACAGUUUUUUUUUUUGCUGUUGCAUGGUGAAUCAUGAAGGAAUCUAUAGCUCGGUGUGUUGAGAAGGUUCUGUUUAGUUUGUUUUUGCCGGGUUGUGGGUUUUGAUCUGCCGUGUGCUAUUCUUAGACUCUAUGGAAUUGGUGGAUGCUUGUGAGUAUUAUAACUGUUCCUAAUUUUACUUGUCACUAUUGCUUGAACGCUUUCAUAUUAUGAUCCUUAAGGGCUUGUUGGGUUGCAAGGGGCUUGAAGAGGGUUGGAGUGGAUUGGAGAGGAUUAAAUUCCCCCUCAAGCCCCUCCCAACCUCUUCAAUCCUCUUCAAGGGAGGUUUAACCGAACAAGGCCUAAAUGUGAGUUGCUGUGAUGAAUCGGCAACUCAGUUGAUGGAUCGGGUUGCCCCUUGCUGCUUCAGAAGGGGGUAUAUAAAAGAGUGGAAGACACUCUGUAUAUAUCGUUUGCUCGAAAGGAUGCUAAGAAUGGCAAAUCCAUCUUCUGGAAUUUAACAUUGUGACUUGUUGCGGCUCCGUGCUCUUCUGAAGCCGGGGAAGAUGCACACCAAGAAGGAACGCCCGGUGGAAAACAAACAGCAGAAUCUGAGUCGACGAAAAAAAAUGUUCUGUGGCAAUGCGGAGGACGUUAAGGCGGUCGAUUCUUCCCGAGCCGCGCAAAUCUCUUCUUGCACGGAAUGCUGCCUCUCCUCGCGAGCACGGCCGCGAUUUUUACCGGGGGUACUAGCAGCUAUGAUGUUGGUUCCCUGUAUUGAAAUGCUGUCCUUAGUUCCUGGCAGUAGUAGUUCCUGGUAGCUAGAGGGGAAAAUGCUGAAUUCCAUGCCUACUUGUACUUGUAUCUCGCUGCAACCUGUCCUGGCAUGUGUGUAAAAUAUUAUUACUUUUUUUUCAGAAAUACAUAUAAUGCAAUCAAAAGUGACACCACCCUUUUGUA